GCCAAGAAAUAGUCCCGGAAAUACUCAGUGGUCUGCCCUGGGGCACACACGCAGCAUUAAUAAGUAGGCGUGAGCAAGCCCAGACUAGAAGGCCAGACAUUCUGACCCUGGUCGUCAGGCACAUCACCCCUCACGGUUCUCAGAAACGCCAUUGCUUACAGCAAUAAUCUGGUGCUGCCAGGUGAUCCACACAGGACCAGAAUCGGACUUCAGAAGGAAGGUUACAGGUGGUUGGAGCUGAAAGUCAACCAAACCGAGCAUGAGUUGGCAGGACAACUUGAGUGAAGAAAGAGCCACAGCUCUGAGCACACAAGAAGCUUCAGGGGACAAGAGAGAUGUCUUCCAUUUAAAUAAUCCCAGCUACUUAAAUGAUCGGCUACAAAAACCUGGAGUGGGAAGAAAGGCACAAGUUUAAGGUAACUGAUGGAAAACAGUGAGUAGAAAGGAUGUGUGGGUCAGCUGCUCCUCUUCUCCUCUCUCAACUUUGUGUGUAUUUUGGCAGUGUUUGUCUUAGGUGGUGGCUAGAGAAGUCUUCUUAAGAAACCAAGUCAUGUCCUGGGAUGGCAGUAGUUGGGAAGUCCAGAGUAGAACCUUACUCACUUUGGCAUGGGGGUGAGAGAGGGAAGUCUUCCUACCUGUCAAUUGACAUAGCCUGCACAUCCAGAUCAUGUAAUCAGCAUUUUCAUUCUGGAAAGAGACUGGUGAUAGAAAAGUACCCCAGUAAUUAAUCUGGCUCCUCAUAUUCAAAAGCCCAAAAGGACAAGCGAGGGCCAUAAGAUAGUUGCACAAAACCAGCAGGACCAAAAUGAAUAAGAAUUCACCCUAGGAGAAACAGAAAUAGUUCAGGGAACAGCAGUGAACUUUUUCAAAAGUUCAAAUUAAUAUUCUCAGAGAAAUUUGAGGAGGCAGUGCAUCUAUAAAAUAUAAAUAGAUGACUCUUAAAAAAAGAACAAACCCAUAUGGGGUGCCUGGCUGGCUCAGUCAGACGAGCAUGUGACUCUUGAUCUCAGGGUCAUGAGUUUGAGCCCCACACUGAGUGUAGAGAUUACUUAAAAAUAAAAUCUUAAAAAAAAGCCCAAAUAAUUAAUAAGUGUUAGAAAUAUAAUUCUAAAAUGGAAAACUCAACAGAAAGGCUAGAGGAAAAAGUCAAUGAAAUCUCUCAGAAUGUAGAACAAGAGGACAAAAAGAGAAAAAUUGAAAGACAGAGAGGACUAACAAACAAGAGCCAACAUACAUCUAAUAGGAGCUUCAGAUUGAGAGUAGAGAAAAAGUAGAUCUCCCAGAGCUAAAGAAAGAUCCACGUCCUCAAAUAGAAAGGUCUCAUCCUGUGCUAAUCCAUAUGAAUGAUAGCCAUAUCUUGGAGAAACUUCACAAAUCCAAAGACAAAAGACUCCUAAAAAGAUUCCAAAAAGAAAAAAAAAUCAGAGGUUGAGAAUCAGCAUCACACUUCUUAACAGUUACACUAUAUACUAGAACACAAGGGAAUAAUGACUUUAAAAUUUCUGAGGGACAAUGAUUUUGAGUCUAGAAUUCUAUAGCCAGCCAAAUUAGCAUUUAAGUGGGGGAGCAAAAUAUUCUUUUUUUUUUUUUUACUUCCACUACUUAAUUUUAUUUUAUUUUUUUUAACUCAGUCCUUCCAAGGACUGAGGAAAUUUAUCACUUACCACUCCUAAAAGAGCUGCUUAAGGAUGUACUACAGGAAAACGAAAUAAGAAUCUAAGGAAGAGGAAGAUAAUCAAGUUGCAUGAGAGGGACAAUCAAAGGAAAUCCUAGAAUGCAAUAAGCUUAAAAAGGAAAUGGUGUGAAGAAACCGGAUUAUUUUAGAGAGUAGAUCAAGUAUUACAUAGUAUUACAUCAAAAAAAAAACCAUAGUAUUACAUCAAAAAAACCACAGUACAUUCCAUUUUUCCUUCAAGAGCUACAAGUGUAGUGGCAUCACCUUCUCCACUGGGUCCACACUAUUUGAUACUGCCAUGAGUAUUUUUUAUAUUAUCAACACACUAGAGAUAAUUCUUUUUUUUUUAAAGAUUUUAUUUAUUUAUUUGACAGAGAGAGAGAGAUAGCAAGGGCAGGAACACAAGCAGGGGGAGUGGGAGAGGGAGAAGCAGGCUUCCCGCUGAGCAGGGAGCCGGAUGAGGGACUCCAUAUCAGGACCGGGGAAUCACGAUCCCUGCGGAAAGCAGAUGCUUAGCGACUGAGCCACCCAGGCGCCCCCUCUUCUUUGGUUUUUAAUGUAGAGAAUUAAUUUAUAGACAAUGUAUGGAGAACUUGAUUAACAUUAGAGAACAGAAUAUAAAUGUUAUAAACUCUGCCGGUGAGAAGUAGGGCCUGUUGAGAGGUGUGAGUGGAGAGGACAGAAAGACAAAGGGAAGUAAGUGAAGGGUGUUGUCUUUUGCCUUACCCAACAGAAAGUUAAGAGAUACUGUGUGUGGGGUUGGGGAGCUGCGCAGGGCAAGUAGGGGCGAGGGGAGUUUGGGAAGGGUAAGACACUGGGCCCAGGAGCAGAGGGAUGAGGGGUAACUGGGCUGGGAUGUUCAGUGAGGCCGGCGAGGGAUGGCAGGGAACGUGUGCGAAAGUGGGGUUGAGCAAAAGAGGCUGAGCGGAAGUAGGUGAGGUAUGGGCGGAGCAUAGCAGGUUAUUG